CCUUUGUACACACCGCCCGUCGCUACUACCGAUUGAAUGGCUUAGUGAGGCCUCCGGAUUGGCUUUGGGGAGCCGGCAACGGCACCCUAUCGCCGAGAAGCUGGUCAAACUUGGUCAUUUAGAGG
rnacentral:rRNA from 1 species